rnacentral:misc_RNA from 1 species
GAAAUGCGAUAAGUAGUGUGAAUUGCAGAAUUCAGUGAAUCAUCGAAUCUUUGAACGCACAUUGCGCCCUUUGGUAUUCCAAAGGGCAUGCCUGUUCGAGCGUCAUUUGUACCCUCAAGCUUUGCUUGGUGUUGGGCGUCUUGUCUCUAGCUUUGCUGGAGACUCGCCUUAAAGUAAUUGGCAGCCGGCCUACUGGUUUCGGAGCGCAGCACAAGUCGCACUCUCUAUCAGCAAAGGUCUAGCAUCCAUUAAGCCUUUUUUCAACUUUUGACCUCGGAUCAGGUAGGGAUACCCGCUGAAUUUAAG